rnacentral:rRNA from 1 species
AACGAACGCUGGCGGCGUGCCUAACACAUGCAAGUCGAACGAGAUCUUCGGGUCUAGUGGCGCACGGGUGCGUAACGCGUGGGAAUCUGCCCUUUGGUUCGGAAUAACAGUUGGAAACGACUGCUAAUACCGGAUGAUGACGAAAGUCCAAAGAUUUAUCGCCAGAGGAUGAGCCCGCGUAGGAUUAGCUAGUUGGUGUGGUAGAGGCGCACCAAGGCGACGAUCCUUAGCUGGUCUGAGAGGAUGAUCAGCCACACUGGGACUGAGACACGGCCCAGACUCCUACGGGAGGCAGCAGUGGGGAAUAUUGGACAAUGGGCGAAAGCCUGAUCCCGCAAUGCCGCGUGAGUGAUGAAGGCCUUAGGGUUGUAAAGCUCUUUUACCCGGGAUGAUAAUGACAGUACCGGGAGAAUAAGCUCCGGCUAACUCCGUGCCAGCCGCCGCCGUAA